GCAGGUAGCUGGAUGGUUGCUGUAGCUUUUUGCUAUAGAGGAAAGUCCGGGCUUUAAAGAACAAUGAUGCCGGAUAACGUCCGGCGAGAGUAAUCUUAGGGAGAGUGCCACAGAAAAUAUACCGCUAUCUUACAUAGUAAGGGUGAAAAGGUGAGGUAAGAGCUCACCGGGCUUAUAGCAAUAUAUGUCGCAUGGUAAACCCCAUCAUUAAGCAAGACUAUAUAGGCAUAUAGCGAUGAAUGAUCGCACACAAGUUCUUAAGUGUAUAUAUGCGGGUAAGUCGCAUGAUCACAGGUAGCAAUACCUAGACCAGAUGAAUAGCCAUCAAAGGUUUUUCCUUUACAGAACCCGGCUUAUAGGCUACCUGUAUAU
rnacentral:RNase_P_RNA from 2 species